AUUAAUCCUGGUUUUCAAGAGUAUUGGUUAAUGCACAUGAGCAAAAGAUUUACUAAAGAUGUUUAUUCUUCAGUUGAUUCUCUUGCCAUAAUCUAUUGAGAAAUGCUUUAUUUGCAUUUCUCGUUAAAGACUUAACAUUGAAGACUUAACUUUAGGGUGAUUUACUUUUUUCUUUUCAUCACAUAGUGUUUAUUAGGACUGGGCAACAUAGUGAGACUCUGUUUCUAUGAAAAAUUCAAAAAAAAAAUUGACUGGGCAUGGUGGCAUCCACUUGUAGUUCCAGCUACUUGGGAAGCUGAAGUGGGAGAUUCACUUGAGCCCAGAAACUUGAGGCUGCAGUGAGCUAUGAUUACGCCACUGUAUUUCAGACUGGGAGACAGAGUAAGACCCUGUCUGGAAAAAUAUAUAAACAUAUAUAUUUUUUAUUUUUAUUUUUUAUUUUUAUCUUUUUUUGAGAUGGAGUCUCACUUUGGCGCCCUGGCUGGAGUGCAGUGGCACGAUCUCGAUUCACUGCAACCUCCACCUUGCGAGUUUAAGCGAUUCACCUGCCUCAGCCUUCUGAAUAGCUGGGAUUACAGGCGCGCACCACCACACCUGGCUCAUUUUUGUAUUUUUAGCAGAGACAGGGUUUCACCAUGUUGUCCAGGCUGGCCAGGCUGGUCUCGAAUUCCUGACCUCAGGUGAUCCACCCACCUCGGCCUCUCAAAGUGCUGGGAUUAUAGGCGUGAGCCACCAUGCCUGCCUUAUGUACUUAUAUUUUAAUGAGACUAUUUCUCUCGGUUUUCUGAUAAAUGAGUUACUGGAACCCUUAUGAAUCUGAAUGCAAAAGAAACAGCUAAAUGUUAUGUAAUUGUUGUGUUUAAAAACCAGAUUAUAAAACUAUCUGUAUUAUAUGAUUACAGUUUUAUAAAAAGAAAACAACGGCCUAAAUGUGUAUAGUAUAAAGGCUGGAAGAGUCAGCACUUUCAUGUUCUCAGCGGUUAUCCUUGGAUGUGAGAUCUCAUGCACUUUUUGCUCUCUUCUUUGUGCCUUUCCAUUUUGGAUGUGUAUUUUUUACAAUCUAAAAAGUUACUUAAACAUAUGCAGCUAAAAACUUUUUUUACUCGUAAAGCGUUUGGUGCUAAUUUUAACUGUUCUUUUUUUAGACAGAGUCUUCUCACUCUGUCGCCCAGGCUGGAGUGCAGUGGUGUGAUCUUGGCUCACUGCAACCUCUACCUCCUGGGUUCAAGUGAUUCUCCUGCCUCAGUCUCCCAAGUAGCUGGGAUUAUAGACGUGCCUGCUUCCCCUUCGCCUUCUGCCGUGAUUGUCAGUUUCCUGAGGCCUCCCCAGCCAUGCUUCCUGUACAGCCUGCAGAACUGUGAGUCAAUUAAACCUCUUUUCUUCAUAAA